rnacentral:rRNA from 1 species
AACGUAGGAGACAAACGUUAUCCGGAGUUACUGGGCGUAAAGGGCGCGUAGGUGGCCUGUGGAAGUCUGCGGUGAAAGCCCGGCGCUCAACGCCGGGUCGGCCGUGGAUACUCUCGGGCUUGAGCUUACUAGAGGCAGAUGGAAUUCCGGGUGUAGCGGUGGAAUGCGUAGAGAUCCGGAAGAACACCGGUGGCGAAGGCGGUCUGCUGGGGUAAUGCUGACACUGAGGUGCGACAGCGUGGGGAGCAAACAGG